AGAUACGGGCCCGACUCCUACGGGAGGCAGCAGUAGGGAAUAUUGGGCAGUGGAUGCAAGUCUGACCCAGCCAUGCUGCGUGCCGGAUGAAGGCCCUCAGGGUUGUAAACGGCUUUUAUUCCGGAAGAAGAGCAGGGAUGCGUCCUUGUGUGACGGUACCGAAUGAAUAAGCACCGGCUAACUCCGUGCCAGCAGCCGCGGUAAUACGGAGGGUGCGAGCGUUGUCCGGAUUUAUUGGGUUUAAAGGGUGCGCAGGUGGCCUGUUAAGUCAGUGGUGUAAUACAGCCGCUCAACGGUUGAGGUGCCAUUGAUACUGACGGGCUUGAAAUAAUUGGAGGCUGCCGGAAUGGAUGGUGUAGCGGUGAAAUGCAUAGAUAUCAUCCAGAACACCGAUUGCGAAGGCAGGUGGCUACGAUUGGUUUGACACAGAGGCACGAAAGCAUGGGGAGCAAACAGGAUUAGAUACCCUGGUAGUCCAUGCUGUAAAC
rnacentral:rRNA from 1 species